rnacentral:rRNA from 1 species
GAUGAACGCUGGCGGCGUGCUUAACACAUGCAAGUCGAAGGGAGUGGCGAACGGGUGAGUAACACGUGAGUAACCUGUCCUUUUCUUUGGGAUAAGCAUUCGAAAGGGUGUUUAAUACCUUAUGGAUUUGGGUGGGCUCGCGGUCUAUCAGCUUGUUGGUGGGGUGAUGGCUUACGAAGGCUUUGACGGGGAGCCGGCCUGGGAGGGUGGUCGGUCACAUGGGGACUGAGAUCCGGCCCAGACUCCUGCGGGAGGCAGCAGUGGGGGAUAUUGAACAAUGGGCGAAAGCCUGAUGCAGCGACGCCGCGUGGGGGAUGAAGGCCUUCGGGUUGUAAACUUCUUGUGCUCUGAACGUGUAGGGGUUGAUUAGCGCCGGCUAACUACGUGCCAGCAGCCGCGGUAAUUC